UGCGUAGGUGGUUUGGUAAGUUAUGUGUGAAAUCCCAGGGCUUAACCUUGGAGGGUCAGAUAAUACUGCUGAACUAGAGUAUAAGAGAGGGUAGUGGAAUUUCCGGUGUAGCGGUGAAAUGCGUAGAGAUCGGAAGGAACACCAGUGGCGAAGGCGGCUACCUGGCUUAAUACUGACACUGAGGCACGAAAGCGUGGGGAGCAAACA
rnacentral:rRNA from 1 species